AGGGAAUCUUCCACAAUGGACGCAAGUCUGAUGGAGCAACGCCGCGUGAGUGAAGAAGGGUUUCGGCUCGUAAAGCUCUGUUGGUAGUGAAGAAAGAUAGAGGUAGUAACUGGCCUUUAUUUGACGGUAAUUACUUAGAAAGCCACGGCUAACUACGUGCCAGCAGCCGCGGUAAUACGUAGGUGGCAAGCGUUGUCCGGAUUUAUUGGGCGUAAAGCGAGUGCAGGCGGUUCAAUAAGUCUGAUGUGAAAGCCUUCGGCUCAACCGGAGAAUUGCAUCAGAAACUGUUGAACUUGAGCGCAGAAGAGGAGAGUGGAACUCCAUGUGUAGCGGUGGAAUGCGUAGAUAUAUGGAAGAACACCAGUGGCGAAGGCGGCUCUCUGGUCUGCAACUGACGCUGAGGCUCGAAAGCAUGGGUAGCGAACAGGAUUAGAUACCCUGGUAGUCCAUGCCGUAAACGAUGAGUGCUAAGUGUUGGGAGGUUUCCGCCUCUCAGUGCUGCAGCUAACGCAUUAAGCACUCCGCCUGGGGAGUACGACCGCAAGGUUGAAACUCAAAGGAAUUGACGGGGGCCCGCACAAGCGGUGGAGCAUGUGGUUUAAUUCGAAGCAACGCGAAGAACCUUACCAGGUCUUGACAUCCAGUGCAAACCUAAGAGAUUAGGAGUUCCCUUCGGGGACGCUGAGACAGGUGGUGCAUGGCUGUCGUCAGCUCGUGUCGUGAGAUGUUGGGUUAAGUCCCGCAACGAGCGCAACCCUUGCCAUUAGUUGCCAUCAUUAAGUUGGGCACUCUAAUGAGACUGCCGGUGACAAACCGGAGGAAGGUGGGGAUGACGUCAAGUCAUCAUGCCCCUUAUGACCUGGGCUACACACGUGCUACAAUGGACGGUACAACGAGAAGCGAACCUGCGAAGGCAAGCGGAUCUCUGAAAGCCGUUCUCAGUUCGGACUGUAGGCUGCAACUCGCCUACACGAAGCUGGAAUCGCUAGUAAUCGCGGAUCAGCACGCCGCGGUGAAUACGUUCCCGGGCCU
rnacentral:rRNA from 1 species